CGGUUGAAACCAAAUCUCUUCCAGUGGCCUCAUUUCAACCCCAAAUUCAAACCCAUCCCCCACCGAGGAAUUUCCCCCAAAUCAAACCCGCGGCCACCAUAAAAAUUACAGGUGACAACCCACUUCAAGUGCCUCCGGUCGCCGUUUGAACGGUAGGAGAGUUAGAUCGUGGAAGUGGAAGGAAAGAGGAAAGAAGGCAGGAAGUUUGUAAGUUCGAUGGCAGGCAAGAAUAAGGGAAUAUGUCAUUCUUGUCGACAGAGGGGAUGUACGAUGCUGGAAUGCCCAACAAAGAGAAGAUGCCCAAACUGUGGUGAAGGUUUCAUCAAAUGGAUGGAGGUUGAAAAGAACAAUGACCAUAAAGGGUUGUUGUUUCAUUGCUGUACCCGUGACUAUAGGUACUUCAAGUGGUGUAACAAAUUUCCUGACGAAAAGUAUCUGUUGCAUGAUGAUGGUGAAUCAAGUUGCAUCACAACUGGAGGUGAAGACGUGGAUUCUUUGUCGCAUAUGUUGAAAACGCUUGCUCAGUUAAGCGAGGAGAAAGACUUGGACAUUUCUCUUCAAAUAAACAUGCGCAAAGGGAAACGAGUUUUAGAAAAUGAAAUGUAGAAGUUUUAGUAUUAGGAUGGUGAUGCAACGGGUUGUAUGUGGUGAUCGUUCGAGAAUGUAUAUCUAAACGUUUUCUAACUGUUUGUAAUUAUGCUUCCAGGAAUGGUAUGCUACUAGUUUGAUGUGGCGCAUGUGUUUUUUCUUCCAAUUGAAUGGUAUGUAACGACUCGUGUAUGUAAAAUAUUUUUUCUUUUUGCAAACAGAGAUCAAAGUCUCUAACAUCAAGAGAAGGGUCGCCAUUUGGUACAAA